CAGUCGCCACGGGAAUACGUAGGGUGCAAGCGUUGUCCGGAAUUAUUGGGCGUAAAGCGUGCGCAGGCGGUUAUAUAAGACAGAUGUGAAAUCCCCGGGCUCAACCUGGGAACUGCAUUUGUGACUGUAUAGCUAGAGUACGGCAGAGGGGGAUGGAAUUCCGCGUGUAGCAGUGAAAUGCGUAGAUAUGCGGAGGAACACCGAUGGCGAAGGCAAUCCCCUGGGCCUGUACUGACGCUCAUGCACGAAAGCGUGGGGAGCAAACAGGAUUAGAUACCCCCGUAGUCCCUGUCUCUUAUAC
rnacentral:rRNA from 1 species